rnacentral:tRNA from 1 species
GCGCCCGUGGCGGAAUCGGCAGACGCGCACGUUUGAGGGGCGUGUGAGCAAUCGUACCAGUUCAAGUCUGGUCGGGCGCACCA